GGGGCUGUAGCUCAGUUGGGAGAGCGCUUGCAUGGCAUGCAAGAGGUCGUCGGUUCAAUCCCGAUCAGCUCCA
rnacentral:tRNA from 1 species